GAUGAACGCUAGCGAUAGGCUUAACACAUGCAAGUCGAGGGGUAACGUGUUGGAAGCUUGCUUCCGAUGACGACGACCGGCGGAUGGGUGCGUAACGCGUAUGCAACUUGCCUCACAGAGGAGAAUAACCCGGAGAAAUCCGGACUAAUGCUCCAUACACUCUUUAGCACGCCUGUGCGUAAGAGGAAAGAUUUAUCGCUGUGAGAUAGGCAUGCGUCCUAUUAGGUAGUUGGUGAGGUAACGGCUCACCAAGCCGACGAUAGGUAGGGGUGCUGAGAGGCAGAUCCCCCACAUUGGGACUGAGACACGGCCCAAACUCCUACGGGAGGCAGCAGUGAGGAAUAUUGGUCAAUGGAGGAAACUCUGAACCAGCCAAGUCGCGUGAAGGAAGAAUGUCCUAAGGAUUGUAAACUCCUUUAGCGAGCGAGUAAGGACUUCCACGCGUUGGGAGUUUGAAAGUAGCUCGAGAAUAAGUAUCGGCUAACUCCGUGCCAGCAGCCGCGGUAAUACGGAGGAUACGAGCGUUAUCCGGAUUUAUUGGGUUUAAGGGUGCGCAGGUGGUCCUGCAAGUCAGUGGUGAAAAGCUGAGGCCCUACAUGGGCCUUGCCGUUGAAACUGCAAGACUUGAGAGUACAUGAUGUGGGCGGAAUGCGUAGUGUAGCGGUGAAAUGCAUAGAUAUUACGCAGAACUCCGAUUGCGAAGGCAGCUCACAAAGGUAUAUCUGACACUGAGGCACGAAAGCGUGGGGAGCAAACAGGAUUAGAUACCCUGGUAGUCCACGCCGUAAACGAUGAUUACUCGAAGUAUGCGAUAUGACAGUAUGCUUCCAAGCGAAAGUGAUAAGUAAUCCACCUGGGGAGUACGCCGGCAACGGUGAAACUCAAAGGAAUUGACGGGGGCCCGCACAAGCGGAGGAACAUGUGGUUUAAUUCGAUGAUACGCGAGGAACCUUACCCGGGAUUGAAAUGUAUGUGCACCUCUUGGGAAACCGAGAGGGUUCUCUUCGGAGACACAUAUGUAGGUGCUGCAUGGUUGUCGUCAGCUCGUGCCGUGAGGUGUCGGCUUAAGUGCCAUAACGAGCGCAACCCUUAUCGUUAGUUACUAACAGGUUAAGCUGAGGACUCUGGCGAGACUGCCGUCGUAAGGCGAGAGGAAGGUGGGGAUGACGUCAAAUCAGCACGGCCCUUACAUCCGGGGCGACACACGUGUUACAAUGGUAGGGACAGAGAGUAGCCACUCGGUGACGAGGAGCGGAUCUUGAAACCCUAUCUCAGUUCGGAUCGGAGUCUGCAACUCGACUCCGUGAAGCCGGAUUCGCUAGUAAUCGCGCAUCAGCCAUGGCGCGGUGAAUACGUUCCCGGGCCU
rnacentral:rRNA from 1 species